CCUCCACGACUCUUGAGUGCAGGAGAGGAGAGUGGAAUUCCAUGUGUAGCGGUAGAAAUGCGUAGAUAUAUGGAGGAACACCGGUGGACGAAAGGCGGCUCUCGUCGGCCUAGUAACUGACACUGGAGGCUACGAAAGCGGUGGGGAGACAAACGAGGUAUUAGACUACCCGUGGUACGUCCACGACCGUAAACGAUGUCGUACGGUUUCCCGUACCCUUAGGUCGCUGCAGACUAACGCUAAUUAAGCACUCCGCGUGGGGAGUACGGCCGCAAGGCUGAAACUCAAAGGAAUUGAC
rnacentral:rRNA from 1 species